rnacentral:rRNA from 1 species
CUACGGGUUGCAGCAGUGGGGAAUAUUGCACAAUGGGCGCAAGCCUGAUGCAGCCAUGCCGCGUGUAUGAAGAAGGCCUUCGGGUUGUAAAGUACUUUCAGCGGGGAGGAAGGGAGUAAAGUUAAUACCUUUGCUCAUUGACGUUACCCGCAGAAGAAGCACCGGCUAACUCCGUGCCAGCAGCCGCGGUAAUACGGAGGGUGCAAGCGUUAAUCGGAAUUACUGGGCGUAAAGCGCACGCAGGCGGUUUGUUAAGUCAGAUGUGAAAUCCCCGGGCUCAACCUGGGAACUGCAUCUGAUACAGGCAAGCUAGAGAGUCGUAGAGGGGGGUAGAAUUCCAGGUGUAGCGGUGAAAUGCGUAGAGAUCUGGAGGAAUACCGGUGGCGAAGGCGGCCCCCUGGACGAAGACUGACGCUCAGGUGCGAAAGCGUGGGGAGCAAACAGGAUUAGAUACCCGAGUAGUC